rnacentral:rRNA from 1 species
GACGAACCGUGCGAACGUUGCUCGGAAUCACUGGGCGUAAAGGGUGCGUAGGCGGGUCUUUUAAGUCAGGGGUGAAAUCCUGGAGCUCAACUCCAGAACUGCCUUUGAUACUGAGGAUCUUGAGUUCGGGAGAGGUGAGUGGAACUGCGAGUGUAGAGGUGAAAUUCGUAGAUAUUCGCAAGAACACCAGUGGCGAAGGCGGCUCACUGGCCCGAUACUGACGCUGAGGCACGAAAGCGUGGGGAGCAAACAGGG